GAUGAACGCUGGCGGCGUGCUUAACACAUGCAAGUCGAACGGAAAGGCUCCUGCUUGCAGGGGUACUCGAGUGGCGAACGGGUGAGUAACACGUGGGUGAUCUGCCCUGCACUUCGGGAUAAGCCUGGGAAACUGGGUCUAAUACCGGAUAGGACGAUGGUUUGGAUGCCAUUGUGGAAAGUUUUUCGGUGUGGGAUGAGCCCGCGGCCUAUCAGCUUGUUGGUGGGGUAAUGGCCUACCAAGGCGUCGACGGGUAGCCGGCCUGAGAGGGUGUACGGCCACAUUGGGACUGAGAUACGGCCCAGACUCCUACGGGAGGCAGCAGUGGGGAAUAUUGCACAAUGGGCGCAAGCCUGAUGCAGCGACGCCGCGUGGGGGAUGACGGCCUUCGGGUUGUAAACUCCUUUCGCUAGGGACGAAGCGCAAGUGACGGUACCUGGAGAAGAAGCACCGGCUAACUACGUG
rnacentral:rRNA from 1 species